UACGAAGGGGGCUAGCGUUGCUCGGAAUUACUGGGCGUAAAGCGCACGUAGGCGGCUCUUUAAGUCGGAGGUGAAAUCCUGGAGCUCAACUCCAGAACUGCCUUCGAUACUGAAGAGCUCGAGUCCGGGAGAGGUGAGUGGAACUGCGAGUGUAGAGGUGAAAUUCGUAGAUAUUUGCAAGAACACCAGUGGCGAAGGCGGCUCACUGGCCCGGUACUGACGCUGAGGUGCGAAAGCGUGGGGAGCAAACAGG
rnacentral:rRNA from 1 species